GAUGAACGCUGACAGAAUGCUUAACACAUGCAAGUCAACUUGAACUUCGGUUUGGGUGGCGGACGGGUGAGUAACGCGUAAAGAACUUGCCUCACAGAUAGGGACAACAUUUGGAAACGAAUGCUAAUACCUGAUAUUAUGAUUAUAUGGCAUCGUAUAAUUAUGAAAGCUAUAUGCGCUGUGAGAGAGCUUUGCGUCCCAUUAGCUAGUUGGAGAGGUAACGGCUCACCAAGGCGAUGAUGGGUAGCCGGCCUGAGAGGGUGAUCGGCCACAAGGGGACUGAGACACGGCCCUUACUCCUACGGGAGGCAGCAGUGGGGAAUAUUGGACAAUGGACCAAGAGUCUGAUCCAGCAAUUCUGUGUGCACGAUGAAGUUUUUCGGAAUGUAGAGUGCUUUCAGUUGGGAAGAAAAAAAUGACGGUACCAACAGAAGAAGUGACGGCUAAAUACGUG
rnacentral:rRNA from 1 species